AAGAGGGGAGGCGGCACAGGUGUCCUGUCCCUUCAAGAGCCCAGCGCAGGCGGCUCCCUGCCCCUCAACUCUCAGCUGCCUGGACCCCCUUCCCAGGCUCCUUGGCUCCCCCACCCCGGCUGCUGAUCCCAGGUGCCAAGUAUUGUUAGCUGCCCUGUUGAGAAGCCCACAUGGAAGGGAACUGGUGUCUCUAACCAGCACCCCAUGAUGCCCUGAGAACCGCCAAUACCCACAUGAGCAGGCUUGGAAGCAGACCCUGCCCAAGUCGAGUCCUGAGAUGACUGACACUCUAACAGCUGGAAUGCAGCCUUGUGACAGCCCUUGAGCCAGAGGCCCCCAGCUAAGCCUCACCCGGAUCCCUGACCCACAGAAACUGUAAAAUAAUACAGAUUUGUUGUUUAAAGCCA